CAACCAUAUCACAUUGAAACACCCAUUCCCAUACAAUCACCAUAGUUAAACAAUGUCGAGUCUGGUUAGUACCUAGAUGGAUGACCGCUUGGGAAUACCAAAUGCUGUAAG